UGAUUAAGCCAUGCGAGUCGAGAGGGUUCGGCCCUCGGCGUACUGCUCAGNUAACACGUGGAUAACCUGCCCUAAGGAAGGGGAUACCCUCGGGAAACUGAGGAUAAUACCCUAUAGGUUACCGAUGCUGGAAUGCUCGGUAACUCAAAGUUCCGGCGCCUUAGGAUGGAUCAGCGGCCGAUUAGGUAGUUGUUGGGGUAACGGCCCAACAAGCCCGUAAUCGGUACGGGUUGUGGGAGCAAGAGCCCGGAGUUGGAUUCUGAGACACGAAUCCAGGCCCUACGGGGCGCAGCAGGCGUGAAAACUUUACAAUGCGGGCAACCGUGAUAAGGGAACCUCGAGUGCCUGUACAUGCAGGCUGUCUGGGUGUCUAAAACACACCCAAAGAAAGGGCCGGGCAAGACCGGUGCCAGCCGCCGCGGUAAUACCGGCGGCUCGAGUGGUGGCCACUUUUAUUGGGCUUAAAGCGUUCGUAGCUGGGUUGUUAAGUCUCUUGGGAAAUCCGGCGGCUUAACCGUCGGGCGUCUAAGAGAUACUGGCAAUCUUGGAACCGGGAGAGGUGAGGGGUACUUCGGGGGUAGGAGUGAAAUCCUGUAAUCCUCGAGGGACCACCUGUGGCGAAGGCGCCUCACCAGAACGGCUUCGACAGUGAGGGACGAAAGCUGGGGGAGCAAACCGGAUUAGAUACCCGGGUAGUCCCAGCCGUAAACGAUGUGCGUUAGGUGUAUCGACGACCACGAGUCGUCGAGGUGCCGAAGGGAAACCGUGAAACGUACCGCCUGGGAAGUACGGUCGCAAGGCUGAAACUUAAAGGAAUUGGCGGGGGAGCA
rnacentral:rRNA from 1 species